AUACGGAGGGUGCAAGCGUUACUCGGAAUCACUGGGCGUAAAGCGCGCGCAGGCGGCUAUUUAAGUUGGAUGUGAAAGCCUACGGCUCAACCGUAGAACUGCAUCCAAAACUAUUUAGCUAGAGUGUGGGAGAGGAAGAUGGAAUUAGUUGUGUAGGGGUAAAAUCCGUAGAGAUAACUAGGAAUACCAAAAGCGAAGGUAAUCUUCUGGAACACUACUGACGCUGAGGCGCGAAAGCGUGGGGAGCAAACGGGAUUAGAUACCCUAGUAGUCC
rnacentral:rRNA from 1 species